rnacentral:rRNA from 1 species
UACGUAGGGUGCAAGCGUUAAUCGGAAUUACUGGGCGUAAAGCGUGCGCAGGCGGUUGUGCAAGACCGAUGUGAAAUCCCCGGGCUUAACCUGGGAAUUGCAUUCGAGACUGAAUAGCUAGGGUGCGGUAGAGGGAAGCGGAAUUUCCGGUGUAGCGGUGAAAUGCGUAGAUAAUCGGAAGGAACAUCAGUGGCGAAAGCGGACUUCCUGGAC